ACAUUUUGCAUGCAAAGAAAGCCAGAGUGGCUAGAUUACUCCCUUAGGGUAAUGGAGAAAGGAAAAAGAAAUUGAAAAAGGUCAGGUGAACAAAGCAGAAGGAAUGAAGAGGUUUGUGUGAUUCUUAGUGAAAUUGGACCAGUCUAAGCAACCAGACAGUGCAGUUCAGGAAACCAGGCUGAAGAAUGUGAAAUACAUCGCCCAAAGUCAGACACGGAGGAACAACUGCUUCGGAGCUAGCAAUUUCCUGAGCUGGAAUUGCACCACUGGCCUGUAGAAUCCAAACUGUUUUCUACCAGAACAACUCCUUCCCUGCAGGAAGCAGGGUGUGCACAGCUGAACCCUGGUCUGAGAAGGUUGAAGUCACUGACUCAGCCCCAGCAAGGAAGUUGCCCUUCGACUUCUGACCUCUGGCCCUGUUUGAAAACCAACUCAAAUCGUUUUUCUUUUUCAGAAGCUGCUUGCCUCCGCUUCACCUUCCACCAUGAUUGUAAGUUUCCUGAGGCCUCCCAGUCAUGCUUGCCGUUAAAACUGUGGAACU